UAGAUAUCGAAUCACUAUGAAGUCUCAACCCAGUGGCUGCUGAAGGUGAUCCCUGGCGAAUGACUGCUCAGAAGCAGAUACGUGUGCAUGAUGAGAAUAUCAGUUUUAAGACACCACUAUCACCCGCUGGUGCAUCGGCGUUUGUAUUGUAAUUUGGGAGUGAAUUGUGUCAGACACUUUCCCCAGCCAGUGCCACACACCUCUGUCACUCAUGCUGAAUACUCUUCUAAUGCAUGUUGAUUAUGGGCUGCUGGAUGUAUAUUUUGGCAAUGAGCACAACAAACAUUUUAUAUAGUAAUUGGGAAAUGGCGGUCUUAUGGCCUCUACACGGCGUGGCCCCCUCACUGGCAGCCUUGGCCUUUGAGUUGGUUAGCCCGACUGUUGGUAGUGGCUGCACCUGCACUAGUGGCCGGAUCGUCAUGAGCAGCAACACCGUCUGCAGAACCUGGGCCAUCGAUGUGGGGUCAAUGUAGUAAUAGUGGCUCUCUGCCAGCAGCAGCCCAGCCGCCUGUUCAGACAGUGAAGAUGAGGAUGUACAGGGGCUCUACCAGAUAGUACGGUGUCACUGUCACCGCAGAACCCACCACCACCACCACCACCACCACCACCACGGUGGUAUAUGUUACCCGAAGAAUAUAAAGAUGAUGAAGGUGAUGAUAAUGAGGGUGUAAUUUUCUUAUACAAAUUAAUAAAUACCGAUGAAGAGGA